GACGAACGCUGGCGGCGUGCCUAAUACAUGCAAGUAGAACGCUGAAGGAGGAGCUUGCUCUUCUGGAUGAGUUGCGAACGGGUGAGUAACGCGUAGGUAACCUGCCUGGUAGCGGGGGAUAACUAUUGGAAACGAUAGCUAAUACCGCAUAAUAUUGACUAUUGCAUGAUAGUCAAUUGAAAGGUGCAAAUGCACCACUACCAGAUGGACCUGCGUUGUAUUAGCUAGUUGGUGGGGUAACGGCUCACCAAGGCGACGAUACAUAGCCGACCUGAGAGGGUGAUCGGCCACACUGGGACUGAGACACGGCCCAGACUCCUACGGGAGGCAGCAGUAGGGAAUCUUCGGCAAUGGACGGAAGUCUGACCGAGCAACGCCGCGUGAGUGAAGAAGGUUUUCGGAUCGUAAAGCUCUGUUGUAAGAGAAGAACGAGUGUGAGAGGGAAAGUUCACA
rnacentral:rRNA from 1 species